CAGUCGCCACGGUAAUACGUAGGUGGCAAGCGUUGUCCGGAAUUAUUGGGCGUAAAGCGCGCGCAGGCGGCCUAUCCAGUCUGUCUUAAAAGUUCGGGGCUCAACCCCGUGAUGGGAUGGAAACUAGUAGGCUAGAGUAUCGGAGAGGAAAGCGGAAUUCCUAGUGUAGCGGUGAAAUGCGUAGAUAUUAGGAAGAACACCAGUGGCGAAGGCGGCUUUCUGGACGAAAACUGACGCUGAGGCUCGAAAGCCAGGGGAGCGAACGGGAUUAGAUACCCCAGUAGUCCCUGUCUCUUAUACC
rnacentral:rRNA from 1 species